UCAGUGCAGAACUUACCUAGUAGAAGUAGUGUGGAGCUUCAGCCCCAAACUCAUUUAGGCCUGCCUGUCUCCACUGCAGUGGCUCCUAAUGCACCUCUGUGUAACCAUGUGAUCCUGAGAAGAUGGUUCAAAACCUCAGAUGCACAAGAAUAACCUCAAAGUAAUUAACCUGCAACUUACUUUUAUGUUGAUAUAUAUUAUUCUUAUGUUUACUAGAUCUGGAUUAUUUUUAUGACUUCAUGAAGUCAAAUUGAAACUUGCAGUGAGAUAAAAAGAAAAUGAAUGCCCUCUGGUCCAAAACAUUACGAGUUACUGUGGCCUGGACCCAACCCUUGACUGCAACUGCAGUGUGAUGAUUGCUCUGAACUCAGCUACUGACUGCCUGUGGAAUGGGGGCCAUUGUGGAAGAUGGGGAGCAAGUAGACUGUGAGAAGACCCUCUGCCUCAAACAAAAGGCUGCUCAGAUAUAUGAUCACCACAUUACAGGGCUUUGCAGAGAGGCAUAAAAAGCUAAAAGGGAUUUGUGAAGUUACUACUUUGCACUAAAAUAGCAUUGGAAUCUGAGCACUGCCUUGCAAUGAACAGCAAGCAACCAUAAACUUCUAUGAAAAUGUACUGGUCCCUACUUGACGCUUUUAAUGGGAAAUGUAGUGUCAGGAGAUUUUGAAAUUUUUUUCAAAACAUCUUGGUUUGAAAGUUCUACAAGCAUGCUUCUGCUCUCUAGUCUGGAUUUGAAUAUUAGAGCCUUAGUUAGGGUUUCCUGCAUACUUUUCCAUACUUGAAAAAUUUCCCUUAAGAUUAUUUAGAGAUGAACUGAGGACCAAGAUGAAGGCCAGUGGCUCCUAGAAUUGUGUUUUAUUGUAUCUUCUCUACUUCUUCUCUUGCGAUGAUAUAUACACAAUAAGAAAGAAAAGAGAAAGGAAGGGCAAAGGACCUUUCCUAAGCCAUUUAUUAGGCCUCUUGAGUUUGACAAUUAGUGAAAAAUGAGUUCUCUCCCA